ensembl:lncRNA
ACUUCUCAGCAGGCUGCCAAUUGCUUCUGCUAAAAGUGCAUGAAUAAAAAUAAUCAGAAAUCACACUGACCUUUCAUUUGGUCAUUCUUUCUAAUGAUUUUAUAUGCUUAUAAAAUGUCAAAAUCAUUUGUUUGGAUCACAGAACAGCAAAUGGCAAGGAGUAGAAAACAGAAAACACUUUUGUAACUGUGGUCGUUUCACCAUGAGUCGCAGUUAAACUCCAUCAGAAUCAUUCUGUCACCUCUUCUCAAAGAAACAAGGAGAAAAUGCAAGGAAAAAAAAAAGUCUUCACAGUUAGAGAUAAGGACAGGGGAUCACUUACCAAUUGAACAGAAAAGGGAAAAACAGAACCACUACUUCAUAGUCAUUAUCUGCUCCUGCUCCACUGUGGGUUCCCUCCCUUGGGAUGCCACCCUUUCCACACUCCCCACAGGCUGCAGAUCCAGCCCAGAGUGCUCCUGCAGGGGUAUCCAUUCCUCCUUCAGGCCUCAUCCCUUCCACACCAUGGGCUCUUACAUGGCUGCACGGGCAGAUCUGCUCUGUGCAGUGCCCUUGGGCUUCAGGGGAUGGUCUCCUCCUCCAUGGCCCUCUCCUGAGAUGCAGGGAGCUGCUGCUUUGUGCCUGAAGUUCCUCCUGCCCUCCUUCUGCACUGACCUUGGUGUCCACAGGGCUACUCUCUCAUAUCCCUCAACCCUCUCUUCUAGCUGUUGUUCUGUGGCAUUACUUCACUUCCUUAUAUAUGCUCUACUAGAGUACACCCAGUGUUGCUCACAGCUCAGUUCUGGCAGCAGUGGGCCCGUGUUGGAGCAGCUGGAGCUCUGAUCUGACAUGGGUCAGAGCUGGGCUUUGCUCACAGAGGCUGCCCUGCAGCAUCCCCUGUAUCAAAGCCUUGUCACCUAAGCCCAGUACAGUAAUUUAGUUGUUCUUUCAUUUUGAUGUGAACUGAACUCAUUGUUCACAGUAACACAAAUUCACAUCAGUAAUGCUCAUCAUUAAAAAAUUAUAACUGAGUGUUCUGAAAGAAAAAUUAGGUGAAAGUCUCCUAGUGGCGCAUGUGAAACGUGCCAUGAACUCCAAAAAUGCAGCAGGGAGUUCCAAAGAUGUAAUAGUAUUUGGAGAGUUUAUGUAAUUAUUUCCUCAAUAUAGUAAUAGCUGACACUACUGGCUAUGGUAAGAUAUGUUUCAAAUGUAAGAGCAGUCUUCAGAUAAUCAAAAAGCUGAAAAUACAAGGCCUUUCUACUGCCUGAUUUUAUCAGCAUGAUAACUUUUUCCACUGUGAUUUCAUUCUUGACUUGUCUGCGUUCGGUACUACCUACUACACAGACAGAGCAGUCUUCCCUCCUAGAAUAAGUCUUAAAAAAAUCAUUCAGUAAGUCACUGAUUUACAGAAUUAUUAUAUGUUUUCUCUGCUUUAACUGUUGCCAUUUGGGAUUUUGCUAGAAAAUUUUGCUUUGAAUUGGACACUCUGAAUAGAUGUGCCCCCUUCAGCCAUGUGGAAAAAGAUAAAUAGAAAUCUACAUAAAUAAAUGAGUACUGAAAUAAAUAGCAAUAGAUCUAAUUGUUUCCAUGAUAUGAAAAAAUAUUUUUAAAAAUGAUGUUAUUUAGUGAAUGAAGUAGGAAAAUCUUUCUUGUUUUUAUUGUCAGAUUACAUGGAAAAAAAUUGUUUGUUACUUGAGAGCUCAGUGUAUGGAGUGACCACAAAAUAAGUACACAGAGUUCAGCAGCAAUUCUUCUAUAGAUGCUCUGGAACAAAUGGUUCCUGUUUUACAAUGCUGGCCCACAAUACCAGAGGCAGAUGUUAGCACCAUGGCAGUAGAGACUGAACCUUCCUGACAUUAUAGCACCACAUUUUGUUGCUGUGUGAUAGAUAGCAGCAGAGGAACAGUCUGACAAAAUGGUGUCUGACAUGGAAGUGUGAAUGAAGCAAAGGUGUGGAAUUAAAUACCUCAAUGCAGAAAAAAAAAAAAAAUGGCACCUGUUGAUAUUCAUCAACAUUUGCUGAAUGCUUAUGGAGACCAAACAGUGGAUGUGAGCACAGUGAGGCCCUGGGUGGUGCAUUUCAGCAGUGGUGACAGCAACAUGUCUCUCUUCUGCUGGUGUAGAUAGUUAUGAAUGUAGCAUGCAGGCACCUGUUCACCACUGGUGAAAACAUAUAGCUAGUGGUGGUGACUAUGCUGAAAAAAAAUAUAUAUAACUUUAUAACUGAGAUUUUGCUCUAUGUAACAAUGUUAUUGUGCUCUUAGUAUCUGUUGUAGUUUCCUCGGAAAUAAAUAGGAGGCAUUACUUUUGGAGAAACCUAUGUAUCUUGAACACAUCUUGGGAGAACUCCCCUUCUGCUGGAUUGUACCUCAGAGAGAAUAAAUAAAGCAUCUCUUCUGCAUAGAUGAUCCUGAGUUACAUGUUGCAAAUUUCCCAUAAAAAUGCAGCUGAUUUUUAUUUAAUUAUCCUGGUUAUCAUCAUAACUCCUGACUUUGUUUACUGUUAUUGUGGUUCUACUUCCAACUGGAAAAAAAAUCAUAGCUGGAGUAAUAUGAGGAAAGGAAGAAACUGGGGCCUGAAUGUAUGAUGUAAAUGAUUGUCAACAAUCAGAUUCAAAGAGAUAGAUUUUAUCCCAACAUUCCUAAACAUAAUUUUCUCAAUAUAUGCAGGAGAAAAAUGUAUUCAACUUCAUCAGCAGCAGAUAGCAUGAGGGAUGGAAAUAAAAUUGGAGUCUUACAGAUAAUGAACAAAUAAUAGUUAUUGUAAAAUGUUUUGUUAUUCAAAUUCUAUCAAUUUAAUUAUUUUAAUGGUAGUCAAAUACCCAAAUACUUUCAGAAAUCUGUCCAAGAAAUACUAUGCUGUAUAAUCAGGUACAGCUGACAGGAAUGAAUUAGCAUAUUUGCUUGAAUAAAUUUCAAGUUAUUGUUGCACUGUGAAUUUCUGCAGUCGGAUGCUUUUAAUGAACCUGAGAUUUAUAAUACAAAGAGGACACAUAAAUGAAAACAAGGUUACAUGUUAGAGGAGAAAAAAAGUUAACAACACAUAAAAUGACUACAGAGCCUGAUUUAAAGUAUGACCUUUCUCUCAAGCUUCCUGUCCACCCACACACCCCACAGGCAAUGCUACAACACCAGACCAUCAGGGUGGAUAACCCAGCACAGCGGUCAGCCCGCACAAGGUGUGGGAAAAUACUAAACGUAACCCAAGAGCUGGUUAGACGCUUAGUUGUCUUAGUUUUUACUUAAAGAAAAGCUGUUUAGGUUCAUUAUUUCAAUGCAUAAAAAAAAAAGAAACAAAAGAGGUGGGGGGAAGGGGCUAGUUGUAGCACUAAAUGUUAUGACUAUAACAUAUAAUAACAUAUUAUAUAUAUAUAUAUGUUAUUAUAUAUAUAUUAUAUAUGUUUAUAUAUAUAUAUUAUAUAUAUAUAAUAACAUUCAAUAAAAGUGUCUUCAGGUUACUUCAGGAAAUAAAUAAUCUUGUUUAUAACCACAUCCAUCUAACUGAUGUUUUCCCUUCCUUCUAGUUACUCUACAAUCAUAGAGCGGCUUGAGUUGAAAGGGAUCUCAAAGAUCAUCUAGCUUCAAUUGAUCAGCCAUGGAAAGAGUUGCCAACCACUAAAUCAGUCACUAGAUCAAUCUGCCCAGGGCCUCAUCCAACUUGACCUUGAAUAUCUCUAGGCACAGGGAAGUCACUUAUCUGAGUAUAGUUUUCCAGCACCUCACCAUCCUCCCAGUGAAAAAUGAAAUCCCGACAUCUGAUCUAAGCCUCUCCCUCUUGUCCUAUCAGCCUCUACCAUGUAAACAUUUGAUUCUCCUCCUUCUUCUUCAAGACCAAUUUAGAGAGAAAAAUAAGCAUGGGAUUGGUAAGUGAUAAAGUGGACAGAUAUUUAAUAUUAUUUUUACUCUAAACAUUAUUGUAACAUAAGAGAUAUAUGCAAUAAAGGGUGAUAAAGAAGGAAAUCAGAAAGAAUCCUGAAAAUCCUCAAUGGAGUCUGAAGGUACUGCUUGAAUGAGUGGAACAUGGCCUUUCCUAGAUAACCUUUGGUCUUAGAGCUAUUUUAGCUCUUACAGCUCACCCUAUUUCCAUACUACAGAAUCUUACAAAUUACAUCAAUGGAGUACUACUUACUCACUAAAGCAAUGCCAACAGAAAAUUUAAUUUCUUCUUUAUUUUAAAGGGAGACGUCCAUCUCCAUGUUUUUAAACUCCUCAUAGUUAUUUAUACACACACCCACACACUUUUUUCUUUAUUUGCCAUGCAAAGUUUCCUGGGGCAGAAAUACAGACAUUUUGCCUGUGCACUACUUAAUUAAGAAUUCACAGUAUUGCAAAUUAAUGCAUUAAUCAACCUUCUUGUCAGUUUAUCUUAAGUAGUUUAACAUUUAUGAUGCAAGCCAUUAGUAAUAAUUCCUCACUCUUGGGAAAGGGCCAGUUUAAACCACAGCCAGUGUCUGCUAGUUUCAGAAACUAUUAAAAAGACAAAUAAAGAUCCUUUUUCAUAGGAAUUCAUAUCAUUGUUAAAAAAAUAUAUUGAAUGCAUAAAUACUAAAAUGCAGCAAAAUUUAAUAUAUCCCUGACAAUAUAUUUAAAUAUAUACCUAAUAUUGAGCUAUUCUGGAUUAGACAGGAGAGUCCAUAAAGUUAACAGCAUUGGUGUCAAGAAAGAAAAUAUGCUAAUACAAUUCAUAACAAUUACAUUUUCAGAGUGAUUCAAAUUAGAUUCAGGAAUGAUGAAAAUGGCUAUUAGAUUCAGGAGAAAAGCAAGGCUGCACACGGAAGGCCACAGUAGCCAGCUGACAGAAAUUACCUGUAUGCAUUCCAUCAUUUGGCACAAAAAAGUAGAUUCUUGGAAGAUACUGGAAGCAGUGAACGUCAAAACAGUAUUAAAAAAAAUCAAAUAAAUAAAAUUUCAUCUUAAAAUAAUUGAAGCAAUUGUUUACAAGCAUUUCUGGUUCAAAAGAUCAAAAUGUUGAAAAGGAAAGAUGGGAUAAAUCACAUUAUAUAGUGCUGUACUUCCAACACUUUACCUAUGUUUUCUGAAAACAACCAACCAACAACAACACAACACCACCACGACCACACCCAAACCUAUACUUUUUCAUCCAUUAAAUUUCCUCGGAAGUACAUGCUUUAGAACUACAAGCAGAAAAGAUAACACAUUGCAGGCCAAAAAAAAGAAAAAACACUUAAACACUUUUGGAGCCACAAGUAGAUAUAUGUACAUAAUUAUGACGAUCAUUAUUAGAUGUUUGCACUGAGAGAAAUGUUAUGAAAGAGGUACUGAACCUUUGACUUAUUCCUUAUCUGCUGGUGUGGCAGUGACCUUUAGAGAAGUUUUAAAGUCUGUGUAUAUGUGAUCAGUAGUCUUUGAUAUUUUUACAGGAGAUUUUAAGGUGGUUCAAAGAGACAGAAGGCAGCAAUACAAAGUAACCAAGGCUACAGCUAUUCCUCAGGUUAGUAUUAAAUAUAUCUGAAAUACCUUUGAUCUGCUUAUAUGGGUGGAUAAGGAGGACCGAAAACUAGAAUGAAGUCAUUGGUUUCAUUUUCAGACUUUUACUAGUGGAUCAAUUACUUGAAAAGGCUCUUGGAAUCCUGAACAUAUUAGUUUGGAUUAGCUUGGUGACCUAUCCAAGCUGUAUUGAAAAGGCCCGGGUAUAUCACACAGUCUGGUGUAGGAAUCUGCACUUCUGAACUACAGACUUAUUAAUGUGUUAUGAAAGUAUGGGUAACUGCUGGGAUACUGUACUCACCAGUAUGAGUGGAAAGUACCUAACAUCUACAGGAUUCCAGGGCAAUGCAAAAAGAAGAAGAAAGAAAGAAGGAAAAAAAAAAGAAAAAAGAAAAAAGAAAAUAGUGGGGAAAAAAUGGAAUGAAAAAGAGAAAAAAAAGACAUAUUCAUGCUGGCAUAAGUUCACCAUCAUCUGUGGAGAAUUAUGUUUGUGUUUUUAUGGGAUUAUUUUUUUAAAAGGAACAGUAGAGUGUGGUGCAGCAGACUGUGGGUUAUCUGAAUGGUAGCCAGGAUAAACCCAGUGGAAAGAAUAACUAAGUAUUCUCUCUUAUGUGCCUGCCUUUCUCCCACAGUUGGACUUUGUUCAACUUAGGACAAAAAUUUGACUGUCAGUAUGCUUUGUGUGGUCCUUUUUAUUCAAAUUCUCCAUCUAGCAAAGACUGACACUUAACAUACCCACAUGUCCUCAUUUACAAUUCUUCCUCCGUCUCGUGAGUAUACAUGGAUACACUGGAGAUUAAUUUUCUCAGAAAGCCUGAAGUUUGUGUCUGAAGCCCUUUACAAUACUUCAAGAGGUGCAGUAUUAUAUGGUGUUUGUAGGUACAAACUAUCUGUUUCAUCAUCACUAUCAAUUUCAUCAUACUUAUUUUCAGGCACAAAACCGCAAUCAGAUUUCAUACUUUUUGGUUUGUUUCCUCUGUAUAUUCUACCUGCAAACUGCAGAACAUAGAUAACACUCUUUGAAUAAAGUAAAAAGACCAAGUACCAUAUCAGUGUAGGUCUAUAUCAAUAGCUUAAGCAACAAAAAAGCACAUGUAUUUCUCAUAGUAUAUUCACUCUCUUUAAAACCAAAUGUGUCUCAUUCAAAUGUAAUAGCUUACUUGUAGCAUCUAUUUUGUCUGAUGGCUAAGAAAAUUAUGUGUAACUCUAAAAUGAAAUGCUGGGGCUGAUAGCUUCCUGACAAUUAUUCUGGCAGGGAGAGAUGCAGGUGAUUAGCAUUGACAAUAGUUUUAAACAAACUGUGUUAUAGUUUCCCUUUUAAAAUUGGAGUAAUAGGUAAGCAGCUAGAAGCCUAGAUCUCUACCCCCAACACUGCAUAGCAAUUACAUGACUUCUUUUUUUCCUAUGGAAAACCUGAUGAAACAUGAUGCAGUAAUUGCUGAUACAGGGCACCUGGAGCAGGGCCUUUGGGAAUGUUUGUAUAACUCUCAAGGCAACUAAGUAGUCCUACAAAGGUCCUCACCUCUGGGCCUGCUUAGGGAUCAACAGCCAGAUCAUAUCUUUCCCUUUCUAAAUAUAUCUCUAUACUAACAAACUAGUUUGUUAACAUCAUUCCCCUGACAGCCCUUCUAGAGCAACAAGAAGAAAAUAUGUGAAACUUUACUGAAUGCCUCAUAAGAGAGCAGGCACUGCUGCUUGGAGACUGUCACCUGUACAACACCAUAAGGACAGACCUGGCUGUUCUAGUAAGAUCUGCAAGGCCAGCUUAGCUCUUGACUGAAUGUAACAUUGGUUUACAUAUCUCAAAUCAGGAUAGAAAACAGAGUUAAAACAGAUUGAAGUGUAGACUGAAGCACGGGACUACUCACAACGGCUGCCAUGUUAAAAAAAAACAAUGACAGCAACAAAGCAACUUUAUUCUGUCUAGAGCGUGAGGUAAAAUGCAUGUCUUUUGAGCAUGGAAGCUGAUUCUUUUUAGUAACUGACAUGCAAGGAAGUCUCACAAAUUACUCACUUCCAGAGGUAGAUAAAAUUUUAAUAAAAGGAGAAUAAACCUGGACACCAGUGGGAAAAUACUGGCCUACAGAAUGUCUUCAUUGCUUCUUUCAGUUUAAUUGUGGUCCAUUUCCUGCAAAUAAACACACAAAUCUGCUUUCUAUGGUAUUUAAAACUUCCGGUAGAAAUCUACCUGGAAUUGGGAAAUCCCUGUGUAUUGGACAAAGAGGUAAGAAAUUGUAUCUGACCAGUUUUAGGAGAAGCUGUGAAAGGUAUUAAUCACAAGCCAAAGGGAUAACUUACCCUGUCUUGACGGUGAGAGCUCACUGAGAAAAAAAUUGUUGAAGGAUACAAUCUCUGAGUAGAGAUGUUUGUCUCCUACCUACUGGCCCUUAAAUGAGGUUAGAAAGGGAUGGACCCUCGGAUUUCCUGCUUUCACCUGUGCUCCCAGGGAUGGUUAGAAGACUUCUGGCCCAGAAAAGAUGUUAAAUGAAUGGGGGUUUGUUUUGUUUUACUUGCUUCUCACUGCACUCAGAAGAAUGAGUAUAAAUGAAGAUGAGAUGUGAGAAGUAAAAACACUGUUUACCCUAUAAAUUUUGUUGGGGCAUUGGGAGCUCUGUUAAUUUCAGAUGUGAACUUCACCAUAACACUAAUGAGCUGACUUAGAACAUUCUAAAUAUUCCAUUUCAACAAGUAACUACAGAGUAAGUUAACUUUAGUUUUCAUGGCUGACUGCUUUUGAGUAUGAAUGUUAAGUUUAACUUGGUAAAACUCUAUUUUUAUAAUCUCUUUUAGUCGGGAACAAAUAUCUUCUAAGGGUGCAUAUGCAAGAACAGUAAAUUCAUAAUAAGCAGUGCUCUACUCUCAUAUUACUUCAGUUUCUGGGAGCAGCUCGUUUCAGGCUUUGAUAUCUUCCCUUCUGCGGUGGAGUAAGUCUAUUUCUAAUAAGUUCUUUGUACUUGAUGAUUUUAUCUUGGAUAAUCGUAAAUGUGCCACAUGCUUCACAGAGAUGUCUGAUGUUUUCUGCAACCUUUGUAUAUGAUGCUUCUCUUUCUUAGCCAAUUUCAGGCAUUGUUACAUCCCAAAGCUGAAUGUGGCAAUGGUGUGACUUUUUCUUGCUACUGCCAAUUAAUCUGCCAUCUGUUUUUUGCCUUUAGGUAUUGUGUUUCCCAAUUAAGCUACUAUAUGUAUCUUGACACAUAAGGUUGUUUACAGAUUGCUGGUCAUUACCUGCAGAAACUCAAUGCCUUCUCUCUUUUUAGGUCUCAUUCAAAACUAAUUUAUUUUUCUCUAAUUAUAAAGAUUGCAGAUAAUUUUUUUCAGCUUCUGUUUCAUAAACAUAUAUCUGCGCCAUAAUUUAGAUGUCUUUUUUUCUUUUUUCCUUUAUUUUUUUUUAAGUGCCAUUUAAUGCAUUGCUCGCAAUAAAGGGAAAAAAAAGAAUCCUAAAAUUCCCUUUAUAAAUCUUGCACACAGCAACAGUUCUCCAGCUUUUUAAUCAAAUGUUUUCAGAUGUCUAUAGCACAGGCUACUGUACAGAAGUACAACAAGAUGCCAACUUAUUAUAAUAAGUCAAUAUUCAUGCACUUGGCACAGUGCAUGCAAAGUAAGGAAGGAUACAGUGUAACAAUUAAAAAGGUAUAAAAUUUGAAAAAAGAAACCAAACCUAAUGAAUUUGUCUGUUUACACGAUUGCUAGAAUCAAUUUAUUGUAUGAGAGAUGUACUGCUACACAAGAAAAACACAACUUUAAUCUUUUAAUUAAGGGAAGUCAACAGCAAACUUUUCAAGAGGUAGUUAAUUGAAGUUUAUAAGUUACUGAUGAUGGGUGGCAAGAGGUGAGUUAAGUGAAAAAAAAAAAAAAAAGGAACUUCAGAUCUGAUGCCUUUGCAUGGAAAAGAGGGAAAGACAACAAAGCCAUUAAAUCAGUAUUUUCUCCUAUGCAAAGGAAUGUAUUAAGUACAAAAACACUGACACCUACUCCAUCUGUCUUCCUUGUUAAUCCACUAGCAUUCUGUCAUGGUUUUAUGAUUUUUGGUUAUCGGUAUUCCACAUCAUAACAUCAUGCAGUGUACUGGGAGUUAAAGAGCAAAUGCUCUAGUUCUGGGUACUUGUCUGGAAAAGAACUACAUUCCCCAGAAUACUGUUCGAAUACUGUUAUUCCUGCUCAUGGGAACAGUUAUAAGGCCUGUAGGUCAACUGACCUGAGUUUUUUCUCCCUCUCGUCUCGUCGUGCUUGCUUUCGGAUCAUCUUGCUGCUGCUCCCGACUGCACGCAAGGCUUCAGUAUUAGUGUAAGGCCUUUAGUUCUCAGACAAUCCUUCUCGCAAUUAUAUUUGAUUUUUUUUAACAAUUAUAUUGAAUUAUAUUGUAUUAUAGUGUGUUAUCGUGCAUUCCAAUACUAUAUUUAGUAAAUCCCAAUACUAUAUAUUUAGUAAAUUAGUUUGUUUCUUCUCAGAUCGUUGCCACUGUUUUUUUAAUUAUUCUUUUUUUUUUGUGGGGGGUCCCCUGUUUCCCUUUUCCAGAGGUGUGGAUUUUGCAAAAGAAAUCCCUCCACCCCACCAGUCACGGAACCAGGCCGGACCAGCCCAUAAACAGUCGACAGUGAACAUAAGCAUAUAAUACUAAGCUUAAGAUCACUGACAAAUAAGUUAACUAACCUAAGACAAUAAUGUUUUUCACAAGAAGGUGUGAUGGAAGCCCCAUCCUUGGAGACACUCAAGGUCCGACUGAAUGGGGCUCUGAGCAAUGUGACAGUUGUAAGUUUCUCUGCUCAUUGCAGGUGAGUUAAACUAGAUGGCCUUUAAAAGUCCCUUCCAACUCAAAUGAUAAUAUGAUUCUAAGAGAACAUGAAGGUAUAUUUAAACAUCAGUUUCAAAUGUAUAGCCAUUUUUUGAAUGAAAUAAUGUUUUCAUAUUGAAAAUGUGCAAGGAAGAAGGGAAAGAUAAUUUCACAAGCUGCAGGAUCGAACCAACCUUUUUAAAAGACAAAAUGUACAGACAGAGGGAGCCCAUGCUUCAAGAACAAAAUCUCUGCAGAGCAAUGCAUCUGUUUGUAGAUCCUAUAUAAUAUGUGAAAACAAACAACACACACACACAAAAAAAGUGUCCUCCCCAAAACACAGCGAUCAUAGAUAGCUUUUAUAUAUCAGCUGCAAAAAAAAUGUAGCUUGUGUUAGAAAUGCAAUGUCUGAAAAGAAAUCUUAUGCCCCUUCAAAACUGUUGUAGUCAUCUACUGGACAGUAUUAUGACUUCAGACUUGUGGAUUUCUUAGCCUGACCUCCUCAUUUUCAUCCUGGCUACUUGGCAGUAUUUUAAACAUUCCUUAAGCUACCAUCUUUCACAGUUUGGAGUUUACUAUGUCAUGCUUUAUGUGCCUCCACUUAGAGUUAUCACUCUGAACUAAACUUUCUGUGCAUUCUGUUUCUUGAUGCCAUAUAAAUUCAUUGCAACACUAAUUCUUAAUUUAUCUUCAGCUGGUAAUCAUCUCUUUGGUCUCAUUCUUGGGAGUCACAAUGUGAUUUCAUUACUACUCUCUACAAAUGGUCCCCAUCACGAGUUUGUUUUAUCAGCAGAAGACACCUGAUUCCAGAGCGUGAACAAGACAAUACCUUACCUUUGUUUUUAAUAUGAAAUAAUUAACUGCAAAACGUUAUUAUUAACAUUGUUUCACUUACAAAAUAAGGUGUUGUAUUCCUUUUAUACCAGGUAUAUAUACAAAAUUUGAAGUAUCUUGAUCAAAAUUAAUUGUAAUGUUGAUAUGCAUACAAGGCAUUAGGUGAUAGGCAGCUGCAGUAAACACCAAUUCUAAUGGUAUUAUGAUAGCAUACUGGUUGUUUGAAGGCAAUUUAUAUAAAGAACAUAGGUAUUUUCUGUGCUUAUGAAUACUGUAUUUGUUUUAACGAAAAAAAAAAGAAAAAAGAAAAAGCCAAAACACUUAUUUCUGUAGUUAUUAAAUUCUUUUCAUUAUUUAAUUAAAUUAUUCAUACCUAUAAACAAAUACAUUCUUGAAUUCUGAAGACUAUAGUAUAUAGAUUAUUUGGUGAUGUUAAACCUUAGCUUCCACAUUUAGAACAUGAGUAAAUGGCAGAAAUGCUACUGUGAGGACUAUAUGCAGUAUUUGAUAUUUUAAUUUAUUUUCUUUAUUUAAAAUUACAAAUCAUUACAUAAUUAUUUUUAUAAAGUCAAAAUAUCCAUGUUCCAAUGCACUAUUAAGAUAAAUUUUUGGUAGGGAUUUUUUUAAAACACAAGUGGAAUAAAAAUAAAUUAUUUUUAAUAAAAAUGUGAACACUUUAAAUAUUAUUUCACUAAUAAUAAUAGGAGUAAUAAAGGCCAUAUUAUUCAGCUGCUCUUACAUAGUUAUCUUAGCAUAAUAUUCUCUCACAGUAUUUCCAAGGGAAAGAGAAUAAUUUUUAUUCAAAUCUAUAAUGAACCUUUUGUCUUGGACAAAACUCAACAUAAUAGUUUUAGUGGUGUAAUAUUUCUUGGGUGGGAAUCCAAUAAUAGAGAAACCAAGCUAUGCAGUUAUGAAAGCUGUCUAUCUGGCGAGUUGCUAUUAAACAGUGCUUGAGCUUUCUCUUUACUUUGGAGAUAUUUAUUUUUAUGGCUAUGCAUUUGUGGCUUGCUCUUGCUAAAUAUUUCUCAAAUGCAUCUUUUAUAAUAGACAACACAAAUCAUCAUAGCUUCAGUGGUAUUCUUUUCCUACGAAAGAAAUAGGAGAAGCGAUGAAGGACUUGCGUUGCUGCUCUUUGUUUCCACAUCUUAUUCUUCAGUGUCUUGUUGCUUUAUAAAUAAUGCAUUUAUGUUAGUUUUUAUAAAGGUAUAUGUACUCUCUCUAUCAUUACAGUAUCUGGACGUGAAUGCUUUUGUGCUCAUAGAUUCCUUUGAGAUGGAAAAUAAACAUAAUCCUUCUGCAGUGCUGUGGGGCCUAAAGGGGGUAGUCUAAUAUUUUGUUACAAGCAGACAUACAGUUGCCUUCAAAACUAUCCUGUCCAGCUUUCUAUAUUGUAAACAAGCAAAUAAAUUCAAGAACUGAUUAUAGUGCCUUCCAUACCAUGCAAAAAUCUAUAUGUUUAUGCAGUAAUUUAGGCAACAAGCAGGGCAGCCAAGUGAUGUAAUUCUUGAAGAAGACAACAUUGCCAUUGCGGUCAUUCAUAAAAGUAGAGCUAUAAUAGGGCUGACAAAGAUCACCAGAGAUGGGUGGCAGGCCAGGGAAAUAAUUUCAGACCUCUCUAACAAAGUUUAACAUUGAGCUGCUCUUUCUCUUCCUAUCUCUUUUAGUCUGACAAUAGCUAUGUAUAUAGAGCACUUGUAGAAUUAAAGUUUCUUAAGAUUUUACUUAAGACACUCAACAACAUUGUAUUUAUAGUAAGAUUCAAAUAAUUGAAAUAUCUGCACAUAAAAAUCAUCCAAGGCUUGGAACAGUCUUGCCGUGUUCAAAAAUGCAGUCUUAAAAUUCAUCAGUCGCCUUUCACCUCUGAGACUACAAAAUUAUAACCACAGACUAU